CACAAGUUAUAAACAACCUACGACAUAAUAUAAGGGAUAAAAAAUUAAGAGCAAUUCGUUUAGAACAUCGAGGCAGAGGUUAUUUUCGAGGAUUUUUGGGACGAGUGGUAUUGGAACGAAAGUUCUGGACGAGAAGUAUAGCUUCAGAAAUAUUGAAAACCAAGCAAGUAAAGAAGAGUGAGCAAAAGAGAUCGUUGUCAGACGGCAAUAAUAGUAGAUGUGAUGAACACGAUGAAGCGGACUACGACAGUAGGAAAAACGAUAGGUGACGUCGUUUGGUGCUUAAAAAAUCAACGCCGGCGAUUAAAUCACGAUAAAUUGACCGAAAAAUCACUGAAUUUCACUAAACACUUACGGGUCAUGUUUUUUAUUUCAGCCUUGACCUCCGACCAACAAGUACUUAAAAAUUUAACAGGUAAAAAUGUAUUUUCACCUCUGGACUCCACACGACCAACAACUCCGAGGUGGUCUAUGGACGUUGACUCUCUGCAUGUGUAAUCGUUUUGGUUUUACAAACACCCAUCGACUUCGUGUAAAACGAUGCUCACAGAGAAGCAAUCGGAGAGAGACGAGGAGUCAUCAACCAAUGAGAUCUCAUAAAACUGAAAAUACCCCAGUUUUCUUUGAUUAUUUUUGUGGGUACUAGGUGGCAGCAUUUUCGAAGCAUUUUGGCGGAAAUGGGAAAUAUUUUGAAAUGUUGAAUGAUUUCUCUAACUGUGACUGACGACUUAAUUCCUAUGAAAAAAUUUUGCAAGAGGAAAACAAAUUCUAUGCUCAAAUUUAUUUAUUUGAACGUACGUUUGCACAUUCUCAUUCGAAUUAAAAAAAUAUAAAUUUUAGAUUUGAAAAGUGAAGUCAAUUUAAUGAAGAAAAUAUGGCCACAGGUGUCCUUUUAAUAAAAUCAUCAAAAAAUAAAGUUUCAAUUUCUUAAGUUUCGUAUUUAUUGGGAAAAUAACUUUCCAAUGUAAAAAAACAUUUCUGCUUCAUUUAUUCAUCUCCGUACAGACAAAAUUCUCAUACCACGUUAAAUCUAUCCUUAAUUAAAUCGACAAAUGGAUACCGGAAUGAAACAUAAUUCUCCAUAACUGAGUACUCGAACUCCUCGCACAACCAUAAUUAUAAAUCUCAAUUGUCUUGUAUUGUUUGAUGGCUUCAAUAAGACAACAUCAAUUACAAAUCGUCUAAUCACUGAAAUGGAAGUUGGCGAUUGAAGUGGAGUGAAAAUUCACUCAGAAGGCAAUGAAACUUGGCAUUCGUUCAGUUACAAAUUAACUUCCGGAAAUCAACAGUAAAAUAAAAAAAUAUGAAAAA